UACAGAGGGUGCGAGCGUUGUCCGGAAUCACUGGGCGUAAAGGGCGCGUAGGUGGUGACCUAAGCGUGCGGUGAAAGCCCGAGGCUCAACCUCGGGUCGGCCGUGCGAACUGUCGAGCUGGAGCACUGUAGAGGCAGGUGGAAUUCCGGGUGUAGCGGUGGAAUGCGUAGAGAUCCGGAAGAACACCGGUGGCGAAGGCGGCCUGCUGGGCAGUGGCUGACGCUGAGGCGCGACAGCGUGGGGAGCAAACAGG
rnacentral:rRNA from 1 species